AGAAUGGCAUUCCACAUAGUACUAUGAGGUCUUAACACAUCACUAACUAAUAAUAAAUUAAUUAAUCAGCCAGCAGGAAGUGAUGUAAUAUCAAGGGAGCUAUAAAGGGAUGUCCUUAUAUUGCCUCUCAUUCUGUAGUUGGGAUUCAGUGAGGUUGCACUUGUUCCUGUAAACAGGAAUAGUUUCGUUCAGGAUUUGAAAUUUUCCUAAGUUCUCUGUUUGGUGACAUGUAUAAACAGAGGUAGACUAUAAGGUUCCACCAUUCUUGAUUGAAAAUAGAUAUUAUAUUUAUCGAAUUGAAUAUGUGAUUGGAUGUAAUCAUUGGAUAUUCUAAACCUUUCUAAUCAAUGGUAAUCACUCCUACUAUAAGAACUGAUUCCAAACCCCUGAUGAAGUCCUAACGGACGAAACGCGUUGGGUUUUGCAACGUCUGGUUAACAAAGUCCUUAUCACAAACAUCUGGUUGGAGAUACAUCCAUUUCGAGUUCUGACUGUGAUCACCUGGCUGUAAAAUCCUCACAUCCAACUGUAAUUUAUGUAUAAGAUUGUAAUAUUGUUUUAUAUGAAUUUUUAGAAGGUUGUGUCAAUAACAAACGCUUAGGAUAAAUAUCGUUUGUUUCUGUACAAUAAAAACUUUUAAUUAUUGUCAUACAAAAGGCA